rnacentral:rRNA from 1 species
UAAGCAUAUCAAUAAGCGGAGGAAAAGAAACUAACAAGGAUUCCCCUAGUAACGGCGAGCGAACCGGGAAGAGCUCAAAUUUGAAAUCUGAUGUCCUCUGGCCGUCAGAGUUGUAAUCUACAGAGGCGUUUUCCGCGCCGGUCCGUGUCCAAUUAUCCUUGGAACAGGGUAAUCAAAGAGGGUGACAAUCCCGUAGUUGACACGACCGCCGGUGCUUUGUGAUACGUCUUCUAAGAGUCGAGUUGUUUGGGAAUGCAGCUCAAAACGGGUGGUAAAUUCCAUCUAAGGCUAAAUAUUGGCGAGAGACCGAUAGCGAACAAGUACCGUGAGGGAAAGAUGAAAAGCACUUUGGAAAGAGAGUUAAACAGUACGUGAAAUUGUUGAAAGGGAAACGAUUGAAGUCAGUCGUGUCCGAGGGGUUCAGCCGGUCCUGCCGGUGCAUUCCUCUCGGACGGGUCAACAUCGGUUUUGGCCGGCGGAAAAGGGCGCGAGGAAUGUGGCACCUCCGGGUGUGUUAUAGCCUCGUGUCGCAUACGUCGGCCGAGACCGAGGAACGCAGCUCGCCUUCAUGGCC